rnacentral:rRNA from 1 species
AUGUGGUUUAAUUCGAAGCAACGCGAAGAACCUUACCAGGUCUUGACAUCCUCUGACAACUCUAGAGAUAGAGCGUUCCCCUUCGGGGGACAGAGUGACAGGUGGUGCAUGGUUGUCGUCAGCUCGUGUCGUGAGAUGUUGGGUUAAGUCCCGCAACGAGCGCAACCCUUGAUCUUAGUUGCCAGCAUUUAGUUGGGCACUCUAAGGUGACUGCCGGUGACAAACCGGAGGAAGGUGGGGAUGACGUCAAAUCAUCAUGCCCCUUAUGACCUGGGCUACACACGUGCUACAAUGGAUGGUACAAAGGGCUGCAAGACCGCGAGGUCAAGCCAAUCCCAUAAAACCAUUCUCAGUUCGGAUUGUAGGCUGCAACUCGCCUACAUGAAGCUGGAAUCGCUAGUAAUCGCGGAUCAGCAUGCCGCGGUGAAUACGUUCCCGGGCCUUGUACACACCGCCCGUCACACCACGAGAGUUUGUAAC